UACGGAGGGAGCUAGCGUUGUUCGGAAUUACUGGGCGUAAAGCGCACGUAGGCGGCUUUGUAAGUUAGAGGUGAAAGCCCGGGGCUCAACUCCGGAGCUGCCUUUAAGACUGCAUCGCUUGAAUCCGGGAGAGGUGAGUGGAAUUCCGAGUGUAGAGGUGAAAUUCGUAGAUAUUCGGAAGAACACCAGUGGCGAAGGCGGCUCACUGGACCGGUAUUGACGCUGAGGUGCGAAAGCGUAGGGAGCAAACAGG
rnacentral:rRNA from 1 species